UAACCGUUGGUGAACCAGCGGAGGGAUCAUUACAGAGUUGCAAAACUCCCAAACCAUUGUGAACGUUACCUAUCCCGUUGCUUCGGCGGGCGGCCCGGGCCCCGCGCCCGGCGCCCCCCGGCCCCCCGUGGGCGCCCGCCGGAGGUAAACCAAACCCUUGAAUUGCAUGGCCUCUCUGAGUCUUCUGUACUGAAUAAGUCAAAACUUUCAACAACGGAUCUCUUGGUUCUGGCAUCGAUGUAGAACGCAGC
rnacentral:misc_RNA from 1 species